GGAAACGAACCAGCGC
rnacentral:sRNA from 1 species